rnacentral:rRNA from 1 species
AACGAACGCUGGCGGCAUGCCUAACACAUGCAAGUCGAACGAUCCCUUCGGGGAUAGUGGCGCACGGGUGCGUAACGCGUGGGAAUCUGCCCUUGGCUUCGGAAUAACAGUUAGAAAUGACUGCUAAUACCGGAUGAUGUCUUCGGACCAAAGAUUUAUCGGCCAGGGAUGAGCCCGCGUAGGAUUAGGUAGUUGGUGAGGUAAAGGCUCACCAAGCCGACGAUCCUUAUCUGGUCUGAGAGGAUGAUCAGCCACACUGGGACUGAGACACGGCCCAGACUCCUACGGGAGGCAGCAGUGGGGAAUAUUGGACAAUGGGCGCAAGCCUGAUCCAGCAAUGCCGCGUGAGCGAUGAAGGCCUUCGGGUCGUAAAGCUCUUUUACCCGGGAUGAUAAUGACAGUACCGGGAGAAUAAGCUCCGGCUAACUCCGUGCCAGCCGCCGCAGUAA